UCAAGUCAUGCAUGGUCCUAUCUUUUUAGUGAUCCACUUCCUGGUCAGCAGGUGUGUUAGAUAAUCACUUUAACAGGCCACAUUGGGGGAAACAGUCUGUUCACAGGGACACAUAAAUCACAUUAACACCACCGCUAAUACUGUUCUCCCCACAGAGUCUGGAGUUUACAUAUGCAUUAACAGUAUACUGCAGGAUGGAGAUGCCCCCAUGGACUGAUCCAAGGGAGUUUGAAGACAGUGAUCGUGACACAGCAAUCGGGGGGUGAUUGCUUCCUACAAGAACAUAAAACAUUACACUUCUAGACAUCUUUGAAAAGACCUGAGCCCUAGGACCAUGCCUCAGUACUACCUGGCUUGAUGACUCCUUGCUGUCCCCAGUUCACCUGGCCGUGCUGCUGCUCCAGUUCCAACUGUUCUGCCUGCAGCUAUGGAACCCUGACCUGUUCACCGGACGUGCUACCUGUCCCAGACCUGCUGUCCCAGACCUGCUGGAACCCUGACCUGUUCACCGGACGUGCUACCUGUCCCAGACCUGCUGUUUUCAACUCUCUAGAGACAGCAGGAGUGGUAGAGAUACGCUCAAAGAUCGGCUAUGAAAAAGCCAACUGACACUUACUCUUGUGUUACUGACUUGUUGCACCCUCGACAACUACUAUGAUUAUUAUUAUUUGACCAUGCUGGUCAUUUAUGAACAUUUGAACAUCUUGGCCAUGUGCUGUUAUAAUCUCCACCCGGC
rnacentral:lncRNA from 1 species